rnacentral:rRNA from 1 species
GACGAACCGUGCGAACGUUGUUCGGAAUCACUGGGCUUAAAGGGCGCGUAGGCGGCCGGGUUGGUCGUGGGUGAAAUCCCCCAGCUUAACUGGGGAAGGGCCUACGAUACUGCCUGGCUCGAGGGAGGAAGGGGCGGUCGGAACUGCCGGUGGAGCGGUGAAAUGCGUUGAUAUCGACAGGAACGCCGGUGGCGAAAGCGGCCCGCUGGCCCACAUCUGACGCUGAGGCACGAAAGCCAGGGGAGCGAACGGG